rnacentral:tRNA from 1 species
GGGGAUGUAGCUCAGUGGUAUAGCACUUGCUUAGCAUGCAUGAGAUCCUGGGUUCAACCCAGUACCG